GAUGAACGCUGGCGGCGUGCCUAAUACAUGCAAGUCGAGCGAACAGACGAGGAGCUUGCUCCUCUGACGUUAGCGGCGGACGGGUGAGUAACACGUGGAUAACCUACCUAUAAGACUGGGAUAACUUCGGGAAACCGGAGCUAAUACCGGAUAAUAUAUUGAACCGCAUGGUUCAAUAGUGAAAGACGGUUUUGCUGUCACUUAUAGAUGGAUCCGCGCCGCAUUAGCUAGUUGGUAAGAUAACGGCUUACCAAGGCAACGAUGCGUAGCCGACCUGAGAGGGUGAUCGGCCACACUGGAACUGAGACACGGUCCAGACUCCUACGGGAGGCAGCAGUAGGGAAUCUUCCGCAAUGGGCGAAAGCCUGACGGAGCAACGCCGCGUGAGUGAUGAAGGUCUUCGGAUCGUAAAACUCUGUUAUUAGGGAAGAACAAAUGUGUAAGUAACUAUGCACGUCUUGACGGUACCUAAUCAGAAAGCCACGGCUAACUACGU
rnacentral:rRNA from 1 species